rnacentral:rRNA from 1 species
UCCCAUGGCCAUUCUACCAUAAAUGUGUCCAAUCUUGGCUAAUCUCAGAAGCUAAGCAAGGUUGGGGCCUGAUUAGUACUUAGAUGGGAGAUAAUUUGGGAAUACUAGAUGCUGUAGGCU